GAAAACUGUGUGACUUUAAAAGAAAACCAGUGAGAUAAAAUUGUAGAAAAUGUAUGAUGAUUCAGGAUGUGGUCAUUUGUGACAUUAAAACAGGAAUUGUCAUCACCAAUAGACGAAUUUCACAUUCCUAAGAGUUUCCUCCAAUUGUCGGCGCAUCGCUCAUUUUCCCCACUUUGUCCUUUGUCCUGUUCUGUGGAUGCCCUUAGACAGUGUCUACCCAUCACUCCAUCUGAAAUCACUUGUUCUGUGCAUAUUUCUCUAUCAAACUUAAACUACAGAGAGCCUGUGGAUAGAGGAUGAAGAGUGACCUUGGACUAAUUUUCUAGAUCAAAGAUCAUAGGUGAUGUGAAGAAAACCAGGAAACUGAUGUUGAAAGAAGUACUUAAUGACCCUUAUGAAUGGACUUAAAUGUGAAAGACUGUUCCAUUGUUUAUCUAAGAUAUAUGAAUUUAUUUAAUAUUUUGAUAUCAUUGAAAAAUUCAGUUACAGUUUUUG